rnacentral:ncRNA from 1 species
AAAAUGUUAUUUCCUAGCAGGACGGUGGCCAUGGAAGUCGGAAUCCGCUAAGGAGUGUGUAACAACUCACCUGCCGAAUCAACUAGCCCUGAAAAUGGAUGGAACUGGA